rnacentral:rRNA from 2 species
UGCAGUCGAGCGAACUGAUUAGAAGCUUGCUUCUAUGACGUUAGCGGCGGACGGGUGAGUAACACGUGGGCAACCUGCCUGUAAGACUGGGAUAACUUCGGGAAACCGAAGCUAAUACCGGAUAGGAUCUUCUCCUUCAUGGGAGAUGAUUGAAAGAUGGUUUCGGCUAUCACUUACAGAUGGGCCCGCGGUGCAUUAGCUAGUUGGUGAGGUAACGGCUCACCAAGGCAACGAUGCAUAGCCGACCUGAGAGGGUGAUCGGCCACACUGGGACUGAGACACGGCCCAGACUCCUACGGGAGGCAGCAGUAGGGAAUCUUCCGCAAUGGACGAAAGUCUGACGGAGCAACGCCGCGUGAGUGAUGAAGGCUUUCGGGUCGUAAAACUCUGUUGUUAGGGAAGAACAAGUACGAGAGUAACUGCUCGUACCUUGACGGUACCUAACCAGAAAGCCACGGCUAACUACGUGCCAGCAGCCGCGGUAAUACGUAGGUGGCAAGCGUUAUCCGGAAUUAUUGGGCGUAAAGCGCGCGCAGGCGGUUUCUUAAGUCUGAUGUGAAAGCCCACGGCUCAACCGUGGAGGGUCAUUGGAAACUGGGGAACUUGAGUGCAGAAGAGAAAAGCGGAAUUCCAC